CGGGGGGCUGCAGCAGUAAGGAAUAUUGCGCAAUGGAGGCAACUCUGACGCAGCCAUGCCACGUGCAGGAAGAAGGCCUUAUGGGUCGUAAACUGCUUUUAUUUAGGAAUAAACCCCCGAACGUGUUCGGGGCUGAAGGUACUAAACGAAUAAGCACCGGCUAACUCCGUGCCAGCAGCCGCGGUAAUACGGAGGGUGCAAGCGUUAUCCGGAUUUAUUGGGUUUAAAGGGUGCGCAGGCGGGCUAUUAAGUCAGUGGUGAAAUCCCGGGGCUCAACUCCGGAACUGCCAUUGAUACUGAUAGUCUUGAGUUUGGUUGAAGUGGGCGGAAUGUAGCAUGUAGCGGUGAAAUGCAUAGAUAUGCUACAGAACACCAAUCGCGAAGGCAGCUCACUAAGCCAAAACUGACGCUCAUGCACGAAAGCGUGGGGAUCAAACAGGAUUAGAUACCCUAGUAGUC
rnacentral:rRNA from 1 species